GGAUGGGUGGCCGAGCGGUUUAAGGCACCGGUCUUGAAAACCGGCGUGGGUGCAAGCCCACCGUGGGUUCGAAUCCCACCCCAUCCGCCA
rnacentral:tRNA from 3 species